GAUAACCAGGUGCUUACCACUGACUGUAUAGAAAAGGGAGGGAGAAUAAACCCAGCCCAUAUGCACUUCAGCCCAGGUCUGGUACCUAGUCUGUAUUGUGAAUGGGGAAACACAG
rnacentral:snoRNA from 1 species